AUAUAGCAAACAAACAUCAAAC
rnacentral:snRNA from 1 species